CAAGUCAGAGACUUCUGUGGUUCCAAACCACUCCUUCUCUGCCCCACUGAUUUGUUUUCUCUGCAGUCACCCAGGUUUUUGCUUCUGGUGCUGAAACAACGAGCAUCUCCGAGAGGGCAACAGGUCCUCUCUUCAAGAAUUCAAAGGCAGCAAGAUACUAUCUCAACUCUUCCUCAUCUGCCAUGAUUGUGUGCCCUAGUCAUGAGUGAAGCUCCUGUUUUCCAGGACUCCGAAGUAGAAGAUAUAAACAAUCACCUAUUCCUCCACCUCCUGCUCCCUGCUUCCACCCUCACAACUUUAACAAGGACAGGGGUGGCCAGUUCUCAGCCCCAGGUUUGGUGGAAGCCUCAACGAGGAUCCAGCUCUACAAUCCAAGCUGCCUGUGUCGCCACCAAACUGGCAGGUUUCCCAUCUCCUUACAAUGCAUUGCAAGGCCUUGAUAGUUCAGGGGGGAAAUAUCACAGAAGCAGCAAGAGCAACUGCUUUUCCUCACUUUCUCUGUGAUUAAGUGUAGAUGCCAAAUCUUGGACAAACAAAU